rnacentral:rRNA from 1 species
UACGUAGGGCGCAAGCGUUAUCCGGAAUUAUUGGGCGUAAAGAGCUCGUAGGCGGUUUGUCGCGUCUGCCGUGAAAGUCCGGGGCUCAACUCCGGAUCUGCGGUGGGUACGGGCAGACUAGAGUGAUGUAGGGGGAGACUGGAAUUCCUGGUGUAGCGGUGAAAUGCGCAGAUAUCAGGAGGAACACCGAUGGCGAAGGCAGGUCUCUGGGCAUUAACUGACGCUGAGGAGCGAAAGCUAGGGGAGCAAACGGG